rnacentral:lncRNA from 1 species
GCUGUGACUUUCCUGAACUCUUCUUUCUAUUUUUAAGCCACUGCCUUUGCUUGAAUAACAAGGAACCAUUCUAACUUCAAUAUCCCUGUUUCUUCCUGCCCUUCCUCCAAUUGCAUUGGUUUGGCUAUCACCCAGGUAACCGGGACAGAAUGCAAACGUCUAAAGGUGAAUGCACUUCCCCAAAUUCCCUUUGUAGUUUGUCUGGAGUUGUAGGGUAGUCCCGUCACAGCAAAGGAGCUGCACAGGUAUUUUCAGAAGCAUUGAAGGUGCUGACUUAAAUCCUAAAUUUACCAUGAGGGCUUCCUUGGGGCAUUCUUUUGUAUACCAGUGUGUCUAUGCAGGUGGUCACAAAGCAGCAUUACAGAUACAGCAUUACAUUAGGAUAGGAAGAGCUGAGUUCCUACUGAGAUUUACAAGCAUGUUAAGAUUCAAAGAUCAAUUAUGGAGCCCCAAGAUCAUCUUCCAUACAAACACAGCUCAGCAGGGACAACCUCAUAGCAGUUAACAUUUUAACAUGCAGAAAGUCAGAAUGUUUUGUUCAUUUGUUUGGGUUUGCAGGGGUAACCCUGAGAGUGCUGAGCAAUCGCUCAUCUUGGCAAGUAGGAGCUGGAAAGACCAAUGGGUGGAUUUGAAAGCCAAGGUGCACAUCUCCAUCUGGGGGGAUUUUUAAAUUUCUUGACAUGUAAAUAAUACAGACAAAGGUCAUUGUGCUGCAAUUUAUACCUCAAUGUUUGGGUUUUGACUUCUGAGCUCCCUGGAGGCUUUUGUGUUUAUGGGGUCCUGAUUUCUAGACCUCAAGCAUAAAAAAAAGUGGCUACUGCUGCUGUUCUCUUGUGUGUUGAGCUUCUUAUAAAUAAGCCUCACUUAACCAUCAUUCCUGAGUCCUGAAGGAAGGCCUGGCUGAUCCUGGCUCUGUUAAUAAAGCGUGUUCUUGUGCUGAAAGUAAUUAAAUGGGCUGAGUGCAAUUGUCAGAGCUCCAAGGGCUGAAAUACUAUCUUUCGCCAGGACAAGAGUAAUAGAGGAGCUCCUUUGUUGGACACAUAAUGAAACAGACAGGUGGGAAGAAAGCCCGUUGUCAGCAGUACA